rnacentral:rRNA from 1 species
CAGUCGCCGCGGUAAAACGAAGGGUGCAAGCGUUACUCGGAAUUACUGGGCGUAAAGCGUGCGUAGGUGGUGGUUUAAGUCCGUUGUGAAAGCCCUGGGCUCAACCUGGGAAUUGCAGUGGAUACUGGAUCACUAGAGUGUGGUAGAGGAUAGUGGAAUUUCCGGUGUAGCAGUGAAAUGCGUAGAGAUCGGAAGGGACAUCAGUGGCGAAGGCGGCCAUCUGGGACAACACUGACGCUGAGGCACGAAAGCGUGGGGAGCAAACAGGAUUAGAUACCCGCGUAGUCCCUGUCUCUUAUAC